UUCUUACUCCCUCCGUCCAAAAAAGCUUGUCCCAAGCUUGUCCCUCAAAUGGAUGUAUCUAGCACUAACUUGGUGCUAGAUACAUCCAUUUGAGGGACAAGCUUUUUCGGACGGAGGGAGUUCGUG
rfam:Triticum aestivum genome assembly, contig: Triticum_aestivum_CS42_TGACv1_scaffold_579407_7BL